rnacentral:rRNA from 1 species
GAUGAACGCUAGCGGCAGGCUUAAUACAUGCAAGUCGAGGGACAGCACAGGUAGCAAAACUGGGUGGUAACCGGCAAACGGGUGCGGAACACGUACACAACCUUCCUUUAAGUGGGGGAUAGCCCAGAGAACUUUGGAUUAAUACCCCGUAAUAUAGUUGAAUGGCAUCAUUUGAUUAUUAUAGCUACGGCGCUUAAUGAUGGGUGUGCGGCUGAUUAGAUAGUUGGCGGGGUAACGGCCCACUAAGUCUACGAUCAGUAGCUGAUGUGAGAGCAUGAUCAGCCACACGGGGACUGAGACACGGGCCCGACUCCUACGGAAGGUAGCAGUAAGGAAUAUUGGUCAAUGGACGCGAGUCUGAACCAGCCAUGCCGCGUGAAGGAUUAAGGUCCUCUGGAUUGUAAACUUCUUUUAUUUGGGACGAAAAAGGGCCUUUCUAGGUCAACUGACGGUACCAGAUGAAUAAGCACCGGCUAACUCCGUGCCAGCCGCCGCCGUAAUAC